rnacentral:rRNA from 1 species
UACGUAGGGUGCUAGCGUUGUCCGGAUUUAUUGGGCGUAAAGAGCUCGUAGGCGGUUUGUCGCGUCGGCUGUGAAAACCUGGGGCUCAACCCCGGGCCUGCAGCCGAUACGGGCAAACUAGAAUUCGGUAGGGGAGACUGGAAUUCCUGGUGUAGCGGUGAAAUGCGCAGAUAUCAGGAGGAACACCGGUGGCGAAGGCGGGUCUCUGGGCCGAUAUUGACGCUGAGGAGCGAAAGCGUGGGGAGCGAACAGG